UAGCGGGUGGGGCAGACCCUGGGCUAGCAGGCCUCAGGGAGAACUCCAAUGGCGUCUGUGUCAGCAUGCCCACACCAGGCCACAACAAUGGCCGCCGCCAAUGUCCCAGUCCCUGGAGAGGUCUCACCCCUCACCGAGAUGCACUCAGGGCCUAUUAGGUGCCUAAUCCAUGGAGGCAGCUAACACGAGGCCUGUGGGGACAGUUCUUUUUGGCAACGUAAGCAUCCUGAAGGCUUCAGAGAGCAGCGCUCAGCUUUAACUACAGAUCUUGCCAAUGGCCCAGUGUGAACUAGUUGGAUGAUGGAAUGACACCAAGGAAGAGGAGAAGUAGGAGUGACCCACUGAUGGAGAGACAGUCAGAGCCUAGAGGCUAAGCUGCUGUGGCUCCUGGUUUAACACCCAGCCUGUUUUAGGCAAAAUCAGGGCACCAUAAAAGGUAAAGGCCCCUGGACCAGGGGUGCUGGGUCUGAUUUCUAUCUCUAUCAUUGACCUGACUUAAGACCAUAGAGUGUCCACGAAAGCCCUAUGGAAAUACUGUACCUUCCUCAUUUGUAACUUAUCCUAUUUCUCUCCUUGGGUCGUGGUGAGGAUCUGUUGAGAGGAAAACCAUGAAAGCACUUUGAAAAGUAAACAAUGUUUGACAGCAUCAGUGAUCAACCUUCUCAGAAGUGCAAGCUAGGCCCUCUGAAGCCAGAUCCUAUGAUGCAGCAAAUAUGUAAGAGAAAAGCUUUCAUUCUUAAGCAUUUAUUGGAAAAAUAUUUUAACUUUCCUUGUUAUAUACAAAUGGAUAUGACAUCAGAAUUGCAUUAUGUCAGAGCAAUUUAUUCUGAAAUGGUUUAAAAGAUGAGGACCACAUAGAGACACUACGUCUGUUUUUUAUUGGGUUUUUUUUUUUGGUAGGAGGUUGUCUCACAGGAUAAUGGAAAUUAAUAGGGAUCUGAUCUCUUUCCCGUUUAAACUACUGAUUUAUGUAACAGGACAAGUACAAACCUGCACAGCAAUAUGGUGACUAAGAGAAAUAAAUGAUUUCAAGCCAGCAGCAUGACAAAUGGUCAGAAUAAGAUUGCACCUUCUGGUUAUUACAACCCUUUAUUAUGAUAUAUCAUUAAGCAACCCAGUGUUUCAUAUAAUGCAGAAGUGAUUAACCCACCAGAAACAGAUGAGAAUGCUGGGUCUUCCAACUUCUCUGGAAAUAAAAAUGGGAAUCAAUUAGGCCAACUUUUUGAUUAUGACCUGAGUAACUUGUCCUCCUUGCUAUGUGUUGAAAACAAACUGCAGGGUCAGUCCCAGAUAGAAAGAAACCUUUAGAGAAAAUCUAGUCCAUCCCUUUCUUUGCACAGAUGAGGAGACUGUGGCCCUCUCAGAUAGAGGAAGUGGAAAACAUGAAGAGAUCUCGACCUAUGCGGCUGAAUUAAGUGUCUGCCAUAGUAGAUGCUCAAUGAAUGCUUAAUGAUAAGCCUUAGGGACAAGGAACUUUCAUAAGAGAUCACAGGCAAGUGAGAAAAUAAGAGACUUGGCCAGGGCUCGCAGGACUGUAACUGGAGUCAAGCAAUCUGGGUGCUAGACCUAGUUCUACCAUCAAUAGCUUAUACAGAGCAUAUUAUUUACUUUACUCUAAGAUUCCUCUGUGAAUAAUAUUUUCUGUUCCAGCUGCCUUAGAAGAGUGCUUUAGAGUAAGUGAAGAAAGAAGUAUAAAUGCACUUCGGAAAAUGUCAACUACUCUCCUCUACGGCUAGUAAAUUUGUCUUGUAGAUGAACAAGGAAGAUCAGACUGUCUUUAAAGAAAGACCUAGGAAGCAGCAGAAAACAGCUAAGUGAGAUAUUUCACUGAUGGUUGAAGUGGAUGGUUGUUAUUUAUUUCUCUUUAAAUCCUCUGGCAAACUUACUUAUGUAGGUCAGAGCUGUGGAAUGGAAAUCAGUCUGGGGUAUUUUGAUCAUUAGGGCGUGUUUCUUAUGAGCCUUUUAAGAUAAAACACCAGGCAAAGGUACAAUUUCAAUUUUCUAGGCGUUCAGAAUCUAAGACUCAUGAUAACACAGCCUGGAGCAUAGGGCAACUAUAAUGAACCCACCAAAGAGAGAGAGGGAUAAUCCCCUGUAUUUAAAAAGCUCUCAAUUUUAAAAAGUGUCCUUAAACAUUUGUCUAUUUCCUCUGCGGACUUCAGAAGUCAGAAAACCAAGCUGUGUUAUAUGGAAAGCCAGAUGUAACAGUUAGUUGAGAGAUAGAUAUUCAUAUUUGCUAUAAAAUUCAGCCAAAUAACCAACUAUCCUAGAGUAUUUAGAAAUAUGAACAUGUGAAUUAAAAUCUUAUUGACUUUCUAUUAUUUAACCAUUGCAUACCUAAUUGUCUCUGUUUUAAUGAUGUAAAAAUCCCAUUAAAAGUUGUUUAAUUUUUUUCCACUUGAAACAGAUCAGAUAGCCACAGGUUUCCUUAAAGCAAGUAAAGUAGAAGUCAAAUAAUUGCGAUGUGAAAGGGCUUUCUUAAGACCAAGUAUGAUUCCCAAAGUCCCAUUAAUUUCUACCGCCAUUUCAUCAGACCAAGACCUCUCAAGGACAAUCACCAUAACUAAUUAUAGGAGAUGUCCAGUUUUUCCAGGAUAAGCUUGAGGUGAUCCAAAUAUCAGGACUUCAAAUUUAACACUUAUUCCAUAUAUUAACUACAUUUUAUUAAUGAAACCAAAUAUUUGCCUUUCUCCUUUUGUUCCCUCUACUCCAAGUCUGGAAGAAAUAGAUUCUGUCUGACAUCUGGGUUUUCCAAGAGUGCAUCUUUCCAAGAAGGAAGAAUGGUUUCCUUAGGCCAGUAUUUGUCAAAUUGAGGUCCAAGGAUUUCCUGUAGUUACAAGUGCAGAUUCUUGGAUUCUACCUCAGACCUACUGAAUUAGAACCACUGGGAUUGAGACUCAAGGAUCUAAAUAUAUAACAGACUUCCAAGAUUAUAUGAAGGCCCCCUCUGAAUAUGAGGAGCUGUUGAUUCUCUGUGCUCAACUUUGCAGCGACAACACUUUAAGAGGAAUCUGGAUUAUUUAAAAAAUUUCCAUGGACUUGGGACGAUGGAAUCAUAAACUUCAGAGCAUGAAGGGCAGCAUAUACUUACCUACCAAAUGAUAAAUGGUUCCUUUUCAAGGGCUAACUAUGCUCUGGCAUUGUUUGUUGAAUGGAUGGAUGGAGGAAGAAAUGAAUGCAUAAAUAAAUGAAAGAGUCAACCAGGCUUCAGUGAAGAUAUGACCUAUAUUAACAGAUGUAUCGACGAUUCUAUAACAUGUGUGAAUGUAAUGGAAUAACUCCAACACAUACUGUAGGGAGGGACUUUGUGAUAAGCCUGUCCCAAGCCACAUUCUAAAGAGUUUAUUUGAAUUCAGUUGCCUUCCCCCUAUUUUCUGUUCUCUGCCCUACUGGCUGCCUAAGCAAUUGUGGCUGGUUCUUAAAGUGAGUUCAAAUUAUCAGCCAAUUGGCCCUGACUUCCCAUCCCAAGGUAGGCAUGUCUGCCUGCUUCUCCUGGCUUAUUGGACUUUGCCUGAGGCUUAUUGCUCUGUUUAUUAUUACCCAAGUGCUGCUUCUCCCCUUUCACAUCAGUGUGAAGUAUUCUUCACCUCAGGUUGGCAGAGGGAAGUUUUCUUGGGGAAACUCUUGAUUCCCUGUGGCUAUUAACAUGUUUAUUUAUGACUGUAAUAACCCUAGAACUCCCCCAGAUAAUCCUUAGAAAGGACAUUUUACAUUGGGCUGUUUCCUGAGGUCGGGAGCUAUAAAGGGAACUCAUUUCUCAUAUCCAGGUCUUCACAUCCGAGGCACUAGAGGGACUCUGUUUUGAUCAGGGUUAUUGCAGGAAUCAGAUGGCACACAAAUUGUAUAGUUUGAGGAGAAUUUUAGAAAGGGACUGUUUACAAAGGCAUGGUCAGGUGUAGGGAAACCAAGAGAGAUUGGGUACUAUUCUGGGGCUGAAAAUAAGCUAGGUCUGAUGGAGAGAUGGGAAUGAAUGGUUAUCAAAACUGAGAGAAAUAAAUUCAGAGACAGAAACUGAGAGCUGCGUGGAGAAGUUUGCCUGAGAGGAGCAGCACCCUUUGUUCAAGUCCGUGGAGACUCUGCAGAGAGGCAUCCCAGGGAUUAAACGCCCUGCACUCUCCUCCCUUCCUCUGGUCUCCUGCUGAUGUGCUUCAGUGGCCAAAUCCAAGUGGAAACCAGAAGGCAGAGGAGCCUGAAGAAGUGGCCCACGCUCGCCAGCCUCUUGGGGCACAGAGCAGGGUGGAAAACAAUGGAGAGAGGAUCUGGCAGGGCAAGUGGUAGAUACUCAAUACAAUCACCCAGAAGGAAUCCAGACAUAAUGGGCCCUGUAAAUGGAGGCCAUGCUUCAUAGAGCUUCACUCUGAAAUAAUCUGGGGGAAAUACUUGAAACUUCCUUUUGAAUCUUCAACUUCUUCUGUAAAUAUUUCUUUAUCUUGUUCCUCAUUGGCAUUAGCCCCUUACUAAUUUGCUUACUUAAGGGCUAUAACACGCUAUAAAAACAAAAAAACACAAACUCUCCGUGUCUUGCUAUUACCUCCAGGAUAAAGUCCACCUUUAGUGUGGCAUUUGAGAAUCUUCAAACUCUGGCUCCAACGUUUCACUGUCUGGGUAGCUCUUAUUCAUCUUUCAAUACUUACUAACCUGAAGCUUGACUGGAUGCAGCAAUUCAACUGGAGGAUUUUCCUGCUCUCUCCUCCACCCUUAUCAAGACGGGUUCCCCUGCUGGUUCUUUUCCUCCUGCAAGGACUAACGGGAAGUAAUCUUAUAAUCAAUCCCUGAUAAUAUUGUAAAGGAUGCUAAUGAAGUCACAUCACUUGUCAGAUAACCAUCACAUGCAUUUUUCUGGGCAUAUUUUGGAAAUUCAGCAUGAACUCAGCAGAGUAGCUUCCUUGGAGAGCUGUGCAGGUGUUGGGCUUGGCUGGUGGGUGAGAGGUUGGGAGGCACGUGUGCCUUUCAGCAUUGCACAGAUUAUAACACGGGGGAGGCCCUUGCUGUAUCUCAAGGGGGAAUGACCCUGCGUGGAAUAGUCUUUCAGACAUCGUCUUCCUUAUCUAAAGCAAAGAGGAUUCUGACAUAGCUGAAUAGGCACAGAACAAAAAGUCAGGAUAUUUUCUUUUAAAUGACAAUACCUUCUACUAACACUAUUGAUGGCUCCCACUCUCAUUGACUUGGUCUUUCCAUCUGUGAAAUGGGGGCUAAUCCCCAUCCCACUUUUCUGGUAGGAUAAUUGUGGAAACCAAAGAAAUAGCAUAUGUGAAACAUUUUGUGAAGAUCCCUGAAAAUCAAGGACAUGUCUCUAAAAGUCUGAAUUGCAUGUGGCUCAAAGCUUGGAAGGGCAUUUUUCAGUCUCCAAAAAAUUAGUCCUUAUAUAUUUACUCUCCACUUUAAAAGGAGCCUCCAAACCAUCAUAUUCCAUUGUGUGUAAGAAACAAACUUUGCAACAUGGUUUAGGUUUAAACUGUCAGAAAUAUUUUUUUAAGUUUGAAUCAGGCUUAUUGGGAUUAGCAAAAGGGAGACAUCAACAUUAAAGAGCCGCCUCGAAAACUGUUCUGGAGUUUUAAUCAUGUUGAAGAAAAGGGGUCUUAGUUCCAGAUGUUAAAGAAAUAAUAUGAGUUUUACAUGUAAGUUUAUAGUAAAUUCAUUUACAUCUGAAGUAAUUAACACGAGCUACAACUUAUGAACUCUCAUUCUAUCCUAAACUUGCCAUUUUUUACAAUUUGCCACAAUUAUCUAAGAUCUAUUUUACAGACUGAUGUCUAAACAGCAUGAAGAUUUAUAUUUCAGAUGCAUUUAAACAGGUUCUGUAAUAAAAUGUUUUGAGGGUAAUUCCUUACUUCUUUGCAUUGAAGGGCAUAAAAAUACCACUGAGGAACUCUUUUAUUUAGGAUUGAAAACUUUGUUGAGCUUUCUACCUUAGCUGCUUUGUCAGCCAACCAAGGCUCUUCGUGUUUACCAGGUCCCAAAUUAUGGGUCCUGCGGCUUUUCUAUCAGCACAGAGAAGGAAUUUAAAACCAGAAUAAGCAAAGUACUUUAACAUUCUAGAGAUUUACUUCAUAACUUCCUUUAAUUAAAGUCGAUUCUCUUAUUAAAGAGAAAUUCAUAUUUUUGAUCUCACAUUUUUUCUCCUUUUUCUCUCGGAGAUGGCACUCAUAGUAUUGUGUUGCCACAGUUGCGAACAUAGAUGGGUUUCAAAUUUACUACUCCAUUACUAUUUCUCUGAAAUCAUUCUUUCCUGUGAAUACCUAAUUCUUAAUCUCUCUGUGUUUUAGUUUUCUGAUUUGUAAGAGAGAUCAACGAUCGCAGGGUUGAGAAUUCUCGUUUUGAGAAUUUGGUGAGUUCAGUAGAUGUAAAGGGUUUAGAAUGCUGCCUGGCACAGAGUAAGAACUCGAUAUGUACCCCUACUGCUGUGGUCAUUGCUGUCGCCGUUGGUACUCAAGGACUUUCUUGAGUCAUAUUCUUGAAAAACAUGAAGAUCGAUGGACCACUUUUGUGUCUUUUGCUUUGGUAGAAUCCAAAAAGAUUAGACCAACUAGUAGGAUGAUCUCUGAGGAGAUAAAUAUGAGAUUUUAUUCCAGAAGCUUCAGUCUUUGAGAGUCUUACCCUUAGGAGCAGAAUGAUGACUAUUUGGAAUCCUCCAAAGCAACAUAAUGAGUAUUUGCUUUUCUUUUCAUUUUUUACAAUUUUUUUGAGCCAGAAGCAGCAGUGGAUUCUGCUGUCAUUCUGAUAUUCCCUAGCUAUUUUUGUGGGCACCUUGCCUGAUUUAGUUAUGCUUUAUAAAUUUUAAAAUAUGAUUAGAGUCUCCAUACUACUUUAUCUCUGAGCUUGAGAAAUAUAAAAAUGAAAAAUAUAGUGGAAGCCUGUAUUCGUUAGGAUUAAGUUUAGCUGCAUAUGAAAGAAACUCAAAUAGCAGCGGCUUAACUAAGACAGGAGGUAAUUUUUCUCUCUCACAUAAAAGAUGACCAGUGGUUGGCAGUCCAGGGCUGGUAUGGUAACUGCACGAUUAUCAAUGACCCAGGCCUAUUCUCUCUUUCUGUUCCUCCAUCCUCAGUAUGACUUCCAUCCUCAAGGUUGCCUCAUGGUGGAGAGAUAACCAUUGUAGCUCCAGUCAUCAUGUUUGUGUUCCAGGCAGCAGAAAGGAGGAAAGGAGAGAGACAAAAAUAUGACUUCCCACUGAGUGAGCCCCCUUUAAAGAGCUUUCUGAGAAGCCCCACACUGCAAUUUUUGCCUACUAUCUCAAGGGAAGAUGGGAAAUAUAGAUUUUAUCUAGAAUUUGCCAAAAAAACUAUUCACAACUUGGGGAUGUAUCCAUACCAUCUCCAUCAGCUGACCACGUGGGAGCUAUCCUUGCAGUUGUAUUCCAUAGUUGGGGGGCAAAGUGGACUACAUGAGCUACAGAAUCAGACCAAUCUGGGUUUGGAUCCUGGUCUGCACGUUAGUCUUUGGAUGUCCUCAGGCAAGUUAGGGAACUUCCUUGAGCCUUAAUUUUAUCAUCUAUCAAACGGCGAUAAUAAUAGAGUCUACUUUAUAUGGAUUAAAGAGAUGACAGAAGUACAUAAAUUUUUAUCCAAUUAAUAAUUUCUAAAAUGAGUACCAGUAAUUUUAUUUCUUUUAGUGCCACUUUUGGGUCAAACAUUGUGCCAGCUUUUACAAAUGCCAUAUCUUAUCCCCAUAACAAAAUUGCAAAGUAUUUUACAGAUUAAUAAAUCAGAAACUCAAAGAGACUAAGUAACUUGACCAAGAUUACACAGAACUGAAAUAUAACCCCUCCUUCCCAAUUAAAAACAAAAACAAAAAAGCCCAGAUCUUUCUGACUCUAACAAUUGCGCUUUUUCUUCCAAAUUACUUUGUUUCUUUCAGAUCCAGGUUACAAUUGGAUACACAGGACGUAUAGGCUUAUGUAAUAACAAACUGGGUUCUAAUAGCCUUUUACUUUACUGAUUGUAUUCACUCAGCAAAUAUCAGGAGGUGUCAGAGAUGGUGAAUUAGGGCUUUAAGCCCAGACUUUGGACUGGCCGUGUCCUGGGGAAAAAAUGGGACCCGGCUACAACAGAAAAAUAGGAACGAUUUUUCUGCCUAAGGCAUAGUUUCAAAGUCUCCUUGCUUCUGGCUCUUUGUCACCUAGUUAUAUAUACAGCCUUUGACUGAAAUAACUUGGUUGGGUUGCCAGAUGCUAUUGUUCUCUGUCUUCUGAUGUCAAUUCAAUUUGAAAAACUGAAAUGGGGCAUUUUGAGCUGGAUUAAUACGCUACAUUCCUGGGAGGUAUAUACCAUGCCCACAUGAUUUGCAUAGAUGGUAAAGGUUGCCAUUAUAGGCCAAGUCUAGAUGCUAUCACUGCAACAGAAGGCAUGGCUGAAUUCACAGGUAGGAGUCAGAGCAGGAAAAGCGAUUUCUGAGUUAGAACCUGAAGGAUAAAGAGAAAUUUGCUAAAGGAAGAGAGGCUGGAAGAGUAUUCCAAGCAGAAGGAAUAGCAUGUGCCUUUGACUCUGAGCUCUGACUUUUGGACGCUCGUUCUUUGAUUAUUUUUACCCUUACUAUCUAACUUUGCCUUGACUCUGUCAGGGCUGGCUUUCAACCUCGCCUUCUGAAAGGCCAUCAUCAAACAUGGAUGCCACCACCUUAAACAGCAUGCCGUGGGGAUUAUGUCCACAUGAAACCAAUGUUAACAAACCAUUCUGCAAAAUUGUUCUGAAACAGAGGCGGCAGCUAGGCUUCAUUUCCUGUGCCAAUGCUAAGAGUUUGUUGGUGGCAGCCUGGACAGAUCAAAAGGAUACUGAAGACUAGUGGAAAGAGUCCCAUGGUUAAUUAGUGAUGCUUCCCUAGGUUCAGAAACAGAGUUCUGACACACACAGGUAUUGGCAUUCUUGGGUCCAAAACUCUCUUUCCUCUUUUCCAUUACAUUUGAAUGGAAUUAGGAAAAAUGUCAAAGAAGCAGCAGGGCACAGGCCAGAAAGCACAAAUGAUAACACCUCCUGUCUCUUGCCUGUAGCAUUUCCAACCUCAACACGCCAAGUUUGGCUUUUGGUAAUAAUAGAAAGAUGGCUGCAAGUUCCCUGGGCCGUCUCGAUGGUCCCUACAUGUGCAAGCUCCUUCAGACACCCAGCUGCUGCUCCUCACAUGCCUGCCAACAAUCAAGUACUUGCUGUAGGGCUGGCCCUUUUCAGAAAUGGCUGGGGAGAGGUGGAAAUAUUGUCCAUGGUCACAGACUUGAGGUUGCUACUGGCCUGCAUGGACUUGAUCCUCUGACCUCAUUCUCAUAAAAAUUUCCUGCUCACCCACUGAAUAACAAGCUGCAGACAACAGUCUCCUUUGCAAAAAAAUUAUUUCUGAAAAUGAAAAAAGAAUAUUAUUAUAAUUAUUUCCCCACUUAAAACUUUUCAUUGGUUCCGUUGACUGCUUGCCAACCAUCUUUACCCCUUUAUCUUGUACUGUACCUUCCAGCUGCAUAAACAACUGAAUGUUCUUUUACUCUCUGCCUCACUAUUUUACUGUCUGUGUCUUUGUCCAUUCAGACUCUCCCACCUGGAGCCCUCUUCAGCUCCACUUUGUCUGUGUAGCUACUUCUAUUCAAAUUCCAGAUCUGGCUGGAGCACAACCAUCUUUGUGACUCUUGCCCGUCCAUCCCACCUGCUUCAUCUCUCUCUCUCAGCAGUGCCAUUGCUAUGCUUUUUAUGUCCUUUUAUUAUUGCACAUGUCAUAUUUAUUGUAGAUAAGUUAUGCCCUACUAGACUGGGAUUGGAUCUCCUUCAUCUUCCGAUGGGCGUUUAAGCCAGAGGCUGGUCACCUCAGAUGUUGAAUUUAACCUAAUCAUUAAAAAACCCACUAAAACGCACUUUAUAUCUCCACUUUUUAUUGACCUCCGUGUAUGUCCGUAGGAGUGAGGAAACUUCUGGCUAACCAAACAUAGAUAUAUAUGCUCAUUUCAUUUGUUUAUCCUUGAAUUCUCCUAUUUCAUGGAUUAUGCUCAGGACAAGGAAGAUCAGGAUUAAAAAGUAGACAUUUUGAGUUACUUCAAUGCAAUUUGGAGAGACAGGAGGUCGUUUAUUUUUUUCUUGGAUUUUUUACCAAAGAGAUUUUAUUUUUAUUUAUCACAACAGGGUUCCAGGCAACAUCUUGCCUAGUCAUGUUAAUUGAAUUAUUCAGAUUGCUUAUGAGUUAAUAUUGUCUAGCCUCAUGUUUCCAGCUCAUUAAAUAAUAACCAAAACUCCAAGUAAUUAAGGCAUUUAGAAAAUGCUGUUAACUGCCACUGAAUUUUGUCUCCCUCCUAGUCUCAUUGAAUAUUGGGUAGAAAACACUUAACCCUUGGCUCAUGUCACCCUCUUCGAGUGUGGCCAUCAUCCUUCUGGAUUCUUCCCAAAUACACUGGCCUAGUUUACUACACUGUGGGUUUUUGAAGCCUUUUUCCCCAUUAACUGUUGUGCUGUUUGGAACCACGUUGUCAGUCAAAGAAGAAGGAGAAAGAUUGUGAGCUCUCACUUGUCCAAACAUGCUUAAUUGUUUGCUUGCUUUCUCGAAGUUUGGUAAAGACCAGUGUUGGUGUAUCCCAAGUGCCCCAGACCCCAUCAGCCUCUGUGAGAGAAUAAAUUAAACUCCUUUUUCAAAAAAAUCCAAGAUUAAAAAGUGAGCCCCCAUUAUGUUUGACUGCAGAAAGCUCUGUCUUUAGAAGACUUGAUUCCUCAAGUGUCUCUAGACAUCCGCCAAGAAUGCUUAAAUAUUCCGCAAGUUCAUCCCAUUGGCUCCCCUUGCCAACUGGCUGGCUCUAGAUUGCUGCUCUCCUCUUCUGCUGGUUGCAUCUUACCGUCUCAGAAGGGUCCACUCAGUCUUGGGCUCCUUCUGUAACUAUGCAUGAGCCUGGGCACAGCCUCUUUCUUUAACUCACCGUCGAGAUAUCUAAUGCAGGACAAUGAAGGCUUUCAAAUAGUGGAAGACUAUUGCAGCACGAAGAUUGGACAUGGAUACCAGAUGCAGCAGAUCUCAGGGUCUGUAGGCCAAGGCUCCCUCCGGAAGACCGACUGGGGAGGUCUGUUAUGAGUUGAAUUGUAUACCCAAAAAGGUAUGUUGAAGUCCUAACCUCCAGUACCUCAGAAUGUGACUUUCUGUGAAAAUAGGAUCUUAUAGAUGUAAUUAGUUGAGGUGAGGUGGUGUUGGAGUGGUGUGGGAUCCUUAAUGCAUCAUGAAGGGUGCCCUUAUAAGAGACACAGAGAGAAGAAUGCCAUGUGAAGACAAAGACAUAGAGAGGAGAAUGCCAUGUGAAGACCAAAGCACAGAUUACAGUGAUGCAGCUACAAGCCAAGGAACACCACGGACUGACAGCCACCAUCAGAAGCUAGGAAGAGGCCGGGAAACAGUCUCCCCUACAAGUUUUCAGAGGAAGCACAGCCCUGCCAACACUUUGAUUUUGGACUUCUGGCUCCAGAAUUGUGAGACAAUAAAUUGAUGUUGUUUUAAGCCACCUAGUUUGUGGUGCUCUGUUACAGCAUCUCUAGGAAACUAAUACAGGUUCCCUCUUGCUAGCUCCCAGCCAGCUGUCACAUUGCAGAAUCUAGCUCACCUCUGCAAAUCAGGGUAUCCUUGAGCUGCUCCUGCCCGUCUAACGUCCCAGACCAAAUUCUGAGGUCCUCCCCAUCUAACUCCACAUCUCCUCUGUCCUAGGGUGACUGGUAGUUGGCAUGUCCAUUUUCUUUCAUGAAAACAAACAAAGCUUUGGUUGGCUUUCCCCCAGGAGUCCCUUUGUGACGACCACCACCUAU